GCUGCCGUCCCGGAGGCCCCGGAGCGGGCGGGACCCCACUUCCCGCCCCGGAACCCGCAGGGCUCACCCCGCCUCCUCUCGGGAGCUCCACCCGCCGCCUGAGUCGCUCCCGCGCUCGUUGCCUUCUUUGGCUACAGGGUCGCCCCUCCCCUCCGGUUCUGAGAUGGACCCGGACCCUCGGAGGGAGGGACUGGGAGAGCAGCGGGAAGAGGAGGCUCAGAGGGAGUAGUGCGGCAUCUCUCUCCGGAACGACACUCAGAACGGCAGGUGGCUUCUACUCCAGUUUGGGCCACGUCCACGGUGCGGCGCUCCCUAGGCCAUACUUUCUCCAUCCAUGCAGGGCACGGGAGAGCUGCCCACUGGAUUUUGCAGGAUGCAGCCACUGUCCUGCAAACUGGAUCCCUCCCAAGUUCCAUGAGUUUCACCUUUGCCUUCAACGACUGCCCCAUUUCUAGAAAAACUCCUGGGAUAUAUGAUUGAUAUAUCUUGCUUCCGGUUUCGUUUCCCUUGUUCUCUCCUGAACCCACCUAAUCAGACUUUUUACACUCAUCAGGUCAGCUGAAACUGCUCUUGUCAAAAUUACGAAUGAUCUUCGUUUCGCUAAAUCUAAUGGUUGACUUUAAAUUCUCACUCUACUUAUUAGCAGCACUUGACACGAUCAUUACUUUCUGUGACAUCCUACUGUCUUUUUAAAAAAUAUUUUAUUUAUUCAUGAGAGAUAGAGAGGCAGAGACACAGGCAGAGGGAGAAGCAGGCUCCACGCAGGGAGCCCGACGUGGGAUGUAAUUCCGGGAAUCCAGGACCACACACUGGGCCAAAGGUGGCCCUAAACCGCUGAGCCACCCAGGCUGUCCAGUCUGACUGGAACAGGAAAGAAACUACAAAGGACCCUAAGUCAAGGGACAACAUUGAAAUUGGAAAAUGGAUGGCAGAGGGAGAGAAUGAAAAAGCAAAUGAGGAGCUUUGGGGACCCUUGAGCACAUCCAGACCUCAGGUUUCAAACCUCUGCUCUAUCAGAAAAACCCCAAACAUGGAGAAAUCUACAGGAUAACUGAUUGUCUUCAACAAUCAAUGG